CAGCUCUUCAAAAGACACCAACAAUAAGAAAUACAGAGGGUGUAGCAGGUCCAUCCCUCAUUACAGCAUGUGCCCUACAGCAGAGCCCGACGAAUCUUCUGCUUGCAGGCUCAACUCCCACGAUUCAGCCAAUAGUAAAACGGGCCGAGGUGGCAUCUGGUCCAUCUCUCGCUACAUCGUACGUGCUGAAACACUGCCCAAGGAAUAGCUCAACUUCCACAACCCAACCAAUACCAAAACGGGCUCUGGUGGUACCACAUCCAUCCAUCAGUACAGAGCGUGUGUUGCUACACAGCUCAACAAAUGUUCCUUUUAAAUGCUGAUUGCAGGUGCUGUUCUCCCACAUUUAAACCAGUGGCAGGGCAGGAUAAGACGGUAUCAGUGCCAUCCCUCGCUACAGCACAUGUACUGCAACACAGCUAUGGAAUGGUAUUAUAAAAUCGGGCAGUAUUUGUGGAUCCUUUCUGAUCUGAAAUUUUGCUUGCCAACUACAACCUUCCUUAUGAACUUUCAUUUCUCAUUUAUA